GACGAACCGUGCUAACGUUGUUCGGAAUCACUGGGCUUAAAGGGCGCGUAGGCGGUCUGCCAAGUCAGGGGUGAAAUCUUUCGGCUUAACCGGAAAAGUGCCUUUGAUACUGGCGGACUUGAGGGAGGUAGGGGCAGAUGGAACUGGUGGUGGAGCGGUGAAAUGUGUAGAUAUCACUAGGAACGCCGGUGGCGAAAGCGAUCUGCUGGACCUCUACUGACGCUGAGGCGCGAAAGCCAGGGGAGCGAAUGGG
rnacentral:rRNA from 1 species